rnacentral:rRNA from 1 species
GAUGAACGCUGGCGGCGUGCUUAACACAUGCAAGUCGAACGAUGAAGCCCAGCUUGCUGGGUGGAUUAGUGGCGAACGGGUGAGUAACACGUGAGUAACCUGCCCUUAACUCUGGGAUAAGCCUGGGAAACUGGGUCUAAUACCGGAUAGGAGCGUCCACCGCAUGGUGGGUGUUGGAAAGAUUUAUCGGUUUUGGAUGGACUCGCGGCCUAUCAGCUUGUUGGUGAGGUAAUGGCUCACCAAGGCGACGACGGGUAGCCGGCCUGAGAGGGUGACCGGCCACACUGGGACUGAGACACGGCCCAGACUCCUACGGGAGGCAGCAGUGGGGAAUAUUGCACAAUGCGCGCAAGCCUGAUGCAGCGACGCCGCGUGAGGGAUGACGGCCUUCGGGUUGUAAACCUCUUUCAGUAGGGAAGAAGCGAAAGUGACGGUACCUGCAGAAGAAGCACCGGCUAACUACGUG